UACAGAGGUCUCAAGCGUUGUUCGGAUUCAUUGGGCGUAAAGGGUGUGUAGGUGGCGCGCUAAGUCGGGUGUGAAAUUUCGGAGCUUAACUCCGAAACUGCAUUCGAUACUGGCGUGCUUGAGGACUGGAGAGGAGACUGGAAUUCAUGGUGUAGCAGUGAAAUGCGUAGAGAUCAUGAGGAAGACCAGUGGCGAAGGCGGGUCUCUGGACAGUUCCUGACGCUGGGGCACGAAGGUCAGGGGAGCAAACGGG
rnacentral:rRNA from 1 species